rnacentral:rRNA from 1 species
UACGUAGGGCGCAAGCGUGUCCGGAAUUAUUGGGGCGUAAAGGGCGCGUAGGCGGCGCGGUAAGUCACUUGUGAAAUCUCUGAGCUUAACUCAGAACGGCCAAGUGAUACUGCAGUGCUAGAAGUGCAGAAGGGGCAAUCGGAAUUCUUGGUGUAGCGGUGAAAUGCGUAGAUAUCAAGAGGAACACCUGAGGUGAAGACGGGGUUGCUAGGCUGACACUGACGCUGAGGCGCGAAGGCGUGGGGGAGCGAACGGG